GGUUUAUUAGAAAAAAAGGGGAAAAAAAAUCUUCUGAGUUUCACCUUAGGGGUGAGAAAUGAGAUAGUGAAAAAAGAUGUGGAUGGAAAUGGAAUUUUGGAGUAGAGGGAGGGAAAAAAAAAAGACCUAGUUCUCGAUCUGUUAAAUGAAAUCAGCUUUUUCAACGAAAAUGGUUCUAUGUUGUAAAAAGUUGAGUAUAAUUUCUUGUUUUAAUUCUUGUUAUUACUUUUUUUUUAUUAUUAUUAAUUUCCAUUGUGAAGUUUUUUAGAGCAAA
rnacentral:misc_RNA from 1 species